GGAUUAGGCCCUGCUCCAAAUAAACCCUUGGUGCAGGACAGAGAAAAAGGUGUGGCAUGUUACUACAUUUUAUGAUAUUUGGACAUUUGCUUAUAAGGCCAUGGAGCUUGGGCAUAUCUAAAACAGGUUGGUAAGGCGAAUCACAUUUCUUUCUUCCUUUAAAAAUUUUUUUUUUUCCUUUCUUAUUUCUUUCUUUCCUUUUUUCUUUUCUUUUCUUUUCUUUGGUUACGAUAAGGUUAGAAAAGUUUAUCACCUGCACAGCCAUUGCAGGAAUCCUUCACUUUACCAUCAGAUCCACUGGAAACUGGACUUGGUGUUGAUGUCAGGCCUUUGGUAUCCACAAAGUUCAACUGCUUUAUGGGUUCCUUUUCUCCUCCACUUGACACUUUGGUUAUUGAGAACUCUUCCGGAUAUGGUUUGUUGGAGCCAAAGGGAGAACACUUUGGUUAUUGGGAUUUACAUGUAUGAUUUACAAGGGCAUGCUUGAGUUGAGUAUAUAGGGUUUGUGCACGUGUUUUGCUGCAGUUUUCGGGAGAAUGGUGACCUCCAAUUAGCUCUCAGGUGUCCCUUGGACUAUCAUGAUCUUGAAUCACAUUUUGGGUUCUCAUAACAUGAGCUUGUGGUUAACAUCCUACAAUUUACAAUUCGGGUUCUAUAAUCUGAUUCAUUUAUCAUGAAAAUUGAAUUAGUCCUCAGUUUGAUCUUUGUUUGAUAGGCAUCCCACAAGAUUUGUACAAUUUACUUCACUAAAAGAAGGGAUGGCAUGGGGAUCUCAUGAGAUGGCAGUGGACUGUCGAGCUCAUAGGCCUGUCUUGUUGUUGACUGGGAUCUGGCCUAGGUCUGUAACAGAUUCACAUGUUGUUGUCUAUUUUCUCUUUGAUAGAUGCAAAUGGUUACACUCACACUAUCAGUUUACAGUUUGUUAUAGUGUCAUAGUUCAUUUUUUAGACUGUUGGACAUUCAUUUUCUGUCAUAUCCUUUAUUUAUGGAAGAGAUCUUAAUGUCAACAGGGAUCUUACAAGUCAAGGCUUGAAAGGUUAUAUAAUGAUCAGAUUUUUUCUUCUAAAGUUUGUGGCUGAAAGAUCCAUUCUCAGUUGCAUUUUGUCAAUUGUUUUGCAGUGCAGGUUUGAUCAUUGCAUCAUAUCAUAUUGUCAUGAGUUUCUAAACACUUGGAGCUGUUCUUCUCUUUAGAUGGUCUUCUAUGAAUACAUGACAAAUGAGCGUUCUUAUGUAUAUCAUAUAGUUACCAGCAUCAACCUGUACCCUCGGACUUUUUUUGAUAUCUUAUAAAUGAUUUCAGGAAACAGGAUGGGUGCCUCGACAUCUUAUUGCUCAUGAUAAAUAUAUACAAAAAUAGUUCACUCGUAUGGAGAAUUUAUCUUUGACUAUUCUUGGGCUGAUGCCUACUACAGCUAUGGCGCUCAAUAUUAUCCAAAGUUACAAUGUUGUGUUCUUUUACUCCAGUAACAGGUCCCAGGAUAUUAGUCUGGAACACUUGGUAUCAAGAUCAAGUCUUUGACAAGUUAGUAUCAACAAUGAAGGAUCUUACAACUAAGGCAUUGUGCUGACUGAAUCAAGCUUCUUUCAGAUUGAUUAUUGUUUCUCACAUAUUUUUUAUGGUCCAUCUGGUCUUUCUGCACAUGGAUUUAGGAAUGGUAACAAGCCUCUUGAAAUAAAUGGGUUGAUGUCUAAGAACUUUCAUCUGGUCUUCCAGUUCAUCUUUUGCAUGCAGAGUAGCUACUGGAUAGCUUUUAUCAGAUUAUUUCCAACAUUUGUUCUACACUAGCAUGUAUGAUUGUUGCAGGUAUUUUGUAGAUAGUGUUUUGAUUGAUUCAGUUCUGUUUUUCAUCGCGGCUUGUUUUGUGUUUGCCAUACAAUCCAUUCAUAAGUUCACCCAUAUCCAGAAAAUCAGACCAUUCCAAAACACAGGUGGUUCACACGACACCCAAUGAUUGGGAUGGGAAGCCCGCCAUGUUUUGUGUUUGCCAUACAAUCCAUUCAUAAGACACGCCCCACAAGGAUGGAUUGACACCCAAAAGAUCAGACCAUUCCAAAACUCAAAUAAGCCACACCACGUGAUUUUAGCGGAUUUGGGCAUGAUUUUAUAUGGUGUGACCCACCCGAGUUUUGGGUCAGCCUGAUUUUUGUCCUCCAAAAGGAAAAUGAGGAGGGCACACAUGAUGGACAGUGGAACCUUGCACAGAUCAUGAUGGGCUCCACACGUAUUGUAGAAUAAGCUCAUUCUACAAAUGUCACUAAGGAAUCUGUGUAGUUGUAGAAUAAGCUUAUUCUGCUAAUGUUGCAGAGAAACCUGCCUAGUUGUAGAAUUAGCUUAUUCUGCUAAUGUUGCAGAGAAACCAUAAGAAAAUAUAUGGUUUUAGUAUUUCUUCCGUUAAUAUAAAUCUUAUUGCAAUGUUGCAACCUGGGUGAUUGACUAAAUGGUCAUAUUUAGGGAUGCAUCUCCUUCAUGAGAACUAGUUUAUCUGAGAAAAUGGUCCUUGAUGGAGUGCAAUGGCAGAACAAGAUUCGUGUAGCUGAUUCUAGUUAGUUGGUCUUUAGAUGAUGCUGAUUUUCUUGGCUAUGGUGAGUUUACUGGAAAAGAAGAUUGAAGAAAUGCAAUUGGAAGAGAUGCAGCUUCAAUUCAAAGAAACUGAAAAGAUGCUAGUGAAGGAACAAGAGGCUGUGAAAGAAGCAGCAAACCUAAUUCCUGUCAUAUAGGAGGUCCCAGUCAUUGAUAGUGUGCUGUUGGAUAAACUGACUUUUGAAAAUGAACAACUGAAGGUUUCAUUUCAUGCAGCUGAUGAUCAUUGCCAAAGUUCCUUCCAUCCAUUUUUUGGAGUGCAUGAAGAACUGAAAGCUUUUGUCUGUGACAUUUCACAGGCCACCCUUGCGGAAGUAAACGAUGUAAUAGGUGAAAUUACAAUUUUAAGAAGACUUUAUCAUAAAAACGUGAUUCCUUUGAAGGAGAUUGUAACUUCUUCAGGAUUGUCAAGGUGGGCGUUAUCUAAUUGUGAUUGAAUGCCCACCAUUAAAAACUUCAUGCAGCCCACUCAAUUCAACAGUAUAUGAAUGACAACCUUAUUCAUCAUCAUCUAAGCCUUAUUCCACUAAUUGUGGUCAGCUACAGUUGGACAGUUGGUUUUCCAUUUUUUUAAGAUAUUGGAAUGUUUUGUAUCAUGAAACCUAAGUUCUUAACAAUAUAUUCAGCAUUCUACUAGACUUGCCAUAUUAUUUUCUUCAAUGGUACAAUCUUAACCUUUCAGCGUGUGACCGUAAAAGUAGAUGGCCAAGUUUAGAAAAAGCUGCAAUGGGUGACAUUCAACUGAAAAUUGACCGAACUUUCAUGGCCACAGUCCAGUCUUGGGAGGGAGUUGUUAAGGCUGUGUUUGGAUGCACAUUUGAAUUGCAUUGAUAUUCACUAUAAGGGAAAUGUUCAAACCACAAUUACUUUCCCUAGCAUGCAUAUCAUCUUCUGGGUUCCAGAUUUGGAUUACAUUACCUCCUGACAUGAGUGCUACUUCAUCACUAUGAAUGCUUGACUACUUGGAUAUUUCACUGCAGUGUGGACAUCACAUUUCAAAUUCAGUUUCGCAACCAAAUGUAGCUGAAGAAUUGAUUGCUUCUGGUCCAUGUAGGCCUUUCUUGCUAAUUGGUUAUAAUAGCAAUGUGAAUUUGCUGGAAUUCUCAGUUUGCAUUUUGGAUGCAUCUAAAAAAAUUUAUGGAACAAUAUGUAGAGAUGUUAUGGAAGCAUUUUUCUGCUUGCAUUUGAAGCUUAAAUCAAACUCUUAUUUUGUAAAUCUUAUCGUUGAUCUCCCUAAUGCUUCUGGUUAGGAACUGCAUAUAAGAACAAUAGGUUCUAGCAGCUCAAAGGUGCUACUAAAGGGAAUGGAUUACAGUGAACUUGAAAAAUGGGUUUAGUCGCGUGGUUACAGGUCUGGACAGGCUUUAAUGCUGUGGAAGCGCCUAUAUGGAAACGACAUUUGGGCACAUAGUAGUGAUGAAUUGGAAGGUCUUGGAUGCGGAUAAAGGAGAUAGACUAGAAAGCGCAGUCGGAAGAAUUGCAACACGUGAUAUCGUGCAAUCCACUUGAAAAUCAGAUAAUCUAAUCAUUACAUUAACAGAAGGGCUGGGAUUGGGCUUGAAAUCUAGAUCAGACUAGUCCAUUGGCUCAAUCCAAUUAUCAAUUGGGCCACCCAAUGAAUUGUUGAGUGGGCCACAUGAUCAAUUGGUUCAAUCCAAUUAUCAAUUGGGCUACCUCUAUCCAUAGAAUGGAUAGCUUAAAGACACCUAUUAACAGUUUGGUGUUCCCAUUUAACAAGCAUGACCUGACUUCAUGUUUCAAUGAUCCAAAUUGUUAUACGAGUCCAUGUUCAGUGGGUCGGGUGGACGGUGAGAGAAACCUUGGCUUUCUCAGCCAGAUUUCAAGGAGUCAGGAAUUGCUAUGGUAAGUAAUAGUGAAUGGUUUCAAACAGAAAAUUUGAAUGGAAGUCAGGACUCACUUUCUCAGCCAGAGGUCUUGAUUACUUUCGUUUCUC